rnacentral:sRNA from 1 species
UGCUUUACCGUGGGAUCUUCCACUGCGA